rnacentral:rRNA from 1 species
CUUAUGCGUUGUUGGGUAGGGGAGCGUUCUGUAAGCCUGUGAAGGUGUACUGUGAGGUAUGCUGGAGGUAUCAGAAGUGCGAAUGCUGACAUAAGUAACGAUAAAGCGGGUGAAAAGCCCGCUCGCCGGAAGACCAAGGGUUCCUGUCCAACGUUAAUCGGGGCAGGGUGAGUCGACCCCUAAGGCGAGGCCGAAAGGCGUAGUCGAUGGGAAACAGGUUAAUAUUCCUGUACUUGGUGUUACUGCGAAGGGGGGACGGAGAAGGCUAUGUUGGCCGGGCGACGGUUGUCCCGGUUUAAGCGUGUAGGCUGGUUUUCCAGGCAAAUCCGGAAAAUCAAGGCUGAGGCGUGAUGACGAGGCACUACGGUGCUGAAGC